AUUGAACGCUGGCGGCAUGCUCUACACAUGCAAGUCGAACGGUAACAGGCCGCAAGGUGCUGACGAGUGGCGAACGGGUGAGUAAUGCAUCGGAACGUGCCCAGUCGUGGGGGAUAACUACUCGAAAGAGUAGCUAAUACCGCACACGAUCUAUGGAUGAAAGCGGGGGACCGUAAGGCCUCGCGCGAUUGGAGCGGCCGAUGUCAGAUUAGGUAGUUGGUGGGGUAAAGGCUCACCAAGCCAACGAUCUGUAGCUGGUCUGAGAGGACGACCAGCCACACUGGGACUGAGACACGGCCCAGACUCCUACGGGAGGCAGCAGUGGGGAAUUUUGGACAAUGGGCGCAAGCCUGAUCCAGCAAUGCCGCGUGCAGGAAGAAGGCCUUCGGGUUGUAAACUGCUUUUGUACGGAACGAAACGGCUCUGGUUAAUACCCGGGGCUAAUGACGGUACCGUAAGAAUAAGCACCGGCUAACUACGUG
rnacentral:rRNA from 1 species